rnacentral:rRNA from 1 species
CCUACGGGAGGCAGCAGUGAGGAAUAUUGGUCAAUGGCCGAGAGGCUGAACCAGCCAAGUCGCGUGAGGGAAGACGGCCCUACGGGUUGUAAACCUCUUUUGUCGGGGAGCAAAGAGAGUCACGUGUGCCCCAUUGAGAGUACCCGAAGAAAAAGCAUCGGCUAACUCCGUGCCAGCAGCCGCGGUAAUACGGAGGGUGCAAGCGUUGUCCGGAAUUAUUGGGGGUAAAGAGUGCGUAGGCGGCAUGUUAAGUCAGGGGUUAAAGGCGCAGGCUCAACCUGUGUCCGGCAGUUGAUACUGGCAAGCUGGAAUGCGGUAGAGGUAAAAGGAAUUCCAGGUGUAGCGGUGAAAUGCUUAGAUAUCGGGAGGAACAUCGGUGGCGUAAGCGCUUUACUGGGCCGUAAUUGACGCUGAGGAACGAAAGCCAGGGUAGCAAAUGGGAUUAGAUACCCCGGUAGUC